AAACAGCGCAAAACCUAAAGCGCGGUUUGGGGGAACUUUCCCCAACCAAAAAUCAACCCAGAACCGCAGAUAAAGCUCACAAGGCACGCAAAUUCUCAAACCCUGCAGCUGCAGUCCAACGAAUCGAAGCACCGGGAUCGAAGCGGAGCAAGCGCGCCGGAAUCUGUCGGCCGUGGUGGCCGUGUCCGCCCGGAUCCACCGCUCGGCUGAGAACCCCGGUAUUUCCUGCAUUAAUUUUACCCUAGAUCGAAGGGGUGUCUCGGAUACCUUGCGCUGUUAGCUGAAAUUGCUCCGAAGACGAAGGAAAUAAGGAAUCGCUGCCGCUGGAUACAGAUGAGGCCAAGCAGCAGCCAGCAAGCCUCUCCACCGCGGCCCUCUGCCUGGAAGGGACUGAUACACAUGCUAGUAUUUGUUGGGGCUUUAUGAAAAUCUUCUAUAUGCAUCAGAGGCAAGUAGCGAUGUGGUCGUCAACAGUUGCUCUGUUACAAGCAAUCUUCCUGCUAUCUUCGUGGCUUUACCGUAUCAGGCCCUACUGCUCUGCCAUUGAAGUACUCUUUAUGGCUUUAUAUGUUUCAGUCCAAGCAGAUCUCUUACAUGAUACUGAUUAGUCUGUACCUUCCUGAACCUGAACUAGCCUGUUGCAUGCUGAACCUGUUUGUCUGGGAAAUCACUUUAAAGCUACAUUUAAAAGUUAAAACCAACGACGUCUCUUAUAUAAGUUUUAACCUCUUUGACUGUUUUAAUUGAGAUUUUGCGGAAUUGAACAUACUACUGUUAUUUCUGGGUCCUGGGUUCGUAUGCUAACGGGACCUACUUCAAUUAUUCUCUGUUAGUCUGUUAUAGAUGUGUGCUCUGAUCCAUAUGUGCUUGUAAAGCUUGUGGUAGUCAUAUAUGAUACUGUCGCUUGGGAGGUGUUGGGAAACAGCUCUGGUUUCUCACUCUAUGUCAGGUCAGCACUGGCCACUGGUCCACACAUUCCUUUUCCCUUUUGCCUUUAUGUCUCUUUGCCUCUAACAUUAUGCCCCCUAGGCCCUAACCCUGCUGUCCUGCUUUUGGGCAAUAUAGUUGUCAUGAUCCCUAAUUGUGUGUUUGGUCAUUGACUCAUCAGGUCAUACUGAAGCUUUUUGGACCAAUAUGUGCAAGCAAAGGGAUUUGUGUUCAAUUCACAGGAGUACUGUUUGCCUAACCAAAUUCUGUAUUUGAAUUUUCCACUCAUCACAAAAGAUGUGAAUACUUUUUUCUCUUUGGUUUCAACUCUCAACAUUCGACCGAUUUAUCAAUUUUUCUCUAUUUGAUGCAAGUUUUAGCAUUAACAACUAUUGUAUUGAUGUUGUGGCCUGCUAUGUUUUUUUAACUUUAGAUCUGCAUUUUCUUGCCAUCACGUCCUUGCAUAUAGUGACUGGUGGGUGCAGUGUGGCUCUCCUCUCAUGAUGCCUGCAAUUCUAUAGACUUCACUUGAUAUGGGCUGUUGGCAACAAUAAUUCUCUGAGCAUCGGUUGGGCCACGACAUUCUGUUUCCAUAUCAAAUGUUCCUGACCAUAUCUAUUUCGUUUGACAUUUUCUUAUCAUUAGUGAUACAGCAUUUUACCAACUACUGGAACACAUUGAGGAUUUGAGAUAAGAUUUGGUGAAGCGCAUGGAUUUGUCUGUAAUAUACUAUAUAGUAGUAGGUAGUCUUCUUGUGGCUAGCAUGUUCUUUCUUGUGGUAAAGAAAAGGAUGUACAGUUAGCAGGGCUAUUAUUAUACAUGCACAAUUGUCAUUUGGCUGGUAGCUCACGCCUGCUACCUUGCCUUUUUUUUUUUGAGGACUUACCUUGCUUGAAGUUGGUUGGCACCAGUCCAGUAUACUCUCCAAUAUUAGUUCCUGCAAACGUGACCUGGCUGGAAAGCUGCUUGCCUGAUUCUCCAACAUUUUGAUGUUUCUCAUUUCUGUUUUCCGCCGGUGCUAGCCCUCUCUAUGGGGAGGCUUCUGGUUAAGCUUGCUUCAAUGAAGUUGCUACUUUGUUGGAAAAGAAGAUGCCAAAGGUGCGAUCUCUCACAAUGCUGUUGUAUUUUGAUUUGCUUUUGUUUCUGAUUUAACCGUUGUAAGAAUGGCAGGAACAGAUAGUCCUUUUGCUAACAAAGUCUAACAGGAGCCGCAAUGUUCUACUUUUACACUUGAAGUUCGAAGUGGUAGGAAGGCAGUGUGGUGCUCAUAAAGCAAAUCAAACCCCUUCUUUUACAAGAAGAGGACCGUAUAACUAUAUCCUUUUCCUUUUUUAGUUUGUAAGAUUCAUUUCGUUCUUCUUUGAGGCAAGUUUCUUUUCAAUGAGAAUUCAGAUUCUUGCAACUAUCCAUAACAAUUUAUUACCAUUCAUCCAAUCUUGAAGCUA